ACCUCUGCAAUAGGCGAAAGCUUGACAGGGUUACUCUGAGUGAUGCCCGCUAAGGGCAUCUUUUGGCACCUCUAAAAAUGGUGCAGAAUAAGGGGUGGGCAAGUCUGGUGUCAGCCGCCGCGGUAAUACCAGCACCCCGAGUGGUCGGGACGAUUAUUGGGCCUAAAGCAUCCGUAGCCGGUUUUACAAGUCCUCCGUUAAAUCCAACUGCUUAACAGAUGGGCCGCGGAGGAUACUAUAAGACUAGGAGGCAGGAGAGGCAAGCGGUACUCAGUGGGUAGGGGUAAAAUCCGUUGAUCCAUUGAAGACCACCAGUGGCGAAGGCGGCUUGCCAGAAUGCGCUCGACGGUGAGGGAUGAAAGCUGGGGGAGCAAACCGGAUUAGAUACCCGGGUAGUCCCAGCUGUAAACGAUGCAGACUCGGUGAUGGACUAGCUUCAUGCUAGUCCAGUGCCGCAGGGAAGCCGUUAAGUCUGCCGCCUGGGUAGUACGGUCGCAAGACUGAAACUUAA
rnacentral:rRNA from 1 species